GAGGAAUAUUGGUCAAUGGAUGCAAAUCUGAACCAGCCAAGUAGCGUGCAGGAUGACGGCCCUAUGGGUUGUAAACUGCUUUUAUGUGAGAAUAAAGUUAGGUAUGUAUACUUAUUUGCAUGUGUCACAUGAAUAAGGACCGGCUAAUUCCGUGCCAGCAGCCGCGGUAAUACGGAAGGUCCAGGCGUUAUCCGGAUUUAUUGGGUUUAAAGGGUGCGUAGGCCGUUUGAUAAGCGUGCUGUGAAAUAUAGUGGCUCAACCUCUAUCGUGCAGCGCGAACUGUUGAACUUGAGUGCGUAGUAGGUAGGCGGAAUUCGUGGUGUAGCGGUGAAAUGCUUAGAUAUCACGAAGAACUCCGAUUGCGAAGGCAGCUUACCGUAACGUUACUGACGCUUAAGCACGAAGGUGCGGGUAUCGAACAGGAUUAGAUACCCUGGUAGUCCGCACAGUAAACGAUGGAUGCUCGCUGUUGGCCUUUUGUGGUCAGUGGCUUAGCGAAAGCGUUAAGCAUCCCACCUGGGGAGUACGCCGGCAACGGUG
rnacentral:rRNA from 1 species